GCUGGGUGUUGUGGUGGGCGCCUGUAAUCCCAGCUACUUAGGAGGCUGAGGUAGGAGAAUUGCUCGAACCCAGGAGACGGAGGUUUCAGUGAGCUGAGAUCACACCACUAUACUCCAGCCUGGGUGACAGAGCAAGAUUCCGUCUCAA
ensembl:misc_RNA Metazoa_SRP Metazoan signal recognition particle RNA